UACGUAGGGUGCGAGCGUUGUCCGGAAUUAUUGGGCGUAAAGAGCUCGUAUGCGGUCAUGUGCGUGCGAUGUGAAAACUGGAGGCUUAACCUCCAGACGUCGACGGAAACCGCGCGGCUAGAGUCCGGAAGAGGAGAGUGGAAUUCCUGGUGUAGCGGUGAAAUGCGCAGAUAUCAGGAAGAACACCAAUGGCGAAGGCGGUUCUCUGGGCCUGUACUGACGCUGAGGAACGAAAGUGUGGGGAGCGAACAGG
rnacentral:rRNA from 1 species